ensembl:lncRNA
CUGAGGAGUGGUGUUAGGGAGGGAGGAGGGUAGGGUGGUCACCCCUUAUUCACAGUUUCUCCCAUCUCCUCUUCUCUUCUGUAACGUAGCUCCAGCUGAUCUUAGUUAGGUAGUUAAUGGAUCGAAAUGUUCAAACAACCUAGUUUUGCAGCAGAAGCAAUUUUGCCAAAAGAAAAAAAAACGAGAGAAGAGGAAGCAUGAUAAGAUCCUUCCUGAGGAGCUCUUCCCAGCAGUCAUCAACCUCAACCAGUUCCUCUCUCCAGAACAUUACAUUGACUACAUCGCCUGGGACAUGGCCCGGAACUGCAAGAGACAUCUGACGUUCUGAGUAGCUCUGGGGUUUCUCGCUUGGAGGCUACCAUGCUGCUCUCUGGAGGGCCAGCCUUCUAAGACAACCACAAUUUUUUUUUAAAGCAGGAAAGAGAAUGGAAGAAAAGGAUUUUGGGCUCUGCUGGGGAAGAGGCAGGACAAUACUGGUUACUCAGCCAGCCUUGGUUGGCCUGUAACCUUGUCUCCUGUAUGAGAUGUCAGCAUGACCGCUUAUAUAAUCUGUUAUCAGGCUAGUACAGCUAGGUCUUAAUACUGUAUCUCUAGCUUUGAUUAGAUUGCAUCUUGAGUUCAACCCCAUCAAAUCAAGACAUGGAUGGAAAAAACAUUAGCGUAUGAUGCUUUGCAUAAGAGCAUGGGGCUGGACUUGGCAAUGAAGCAAGCCUAGAGUGACUAAAUUGAUAAGCAGAGAAGAUUGGAUGUUAAUCUGGAUGGUAAUGAAAGAGAGGCUCUACUCAUAGCAUAUGUUCCUCUGGUUGUUAUCAUAGAGUGCUUUAGGCCAUUGUGGAAUUGGAUAAUUACUCCUUGAUGCACCUGUCCUAAAUGUGUUCAGAUUCAGAAACUUAAGAGUUGUGCCAUCUCUAGAAAAUUGGAGUAUAAAAGUUCAACAAACAUACUAAACAUACCCUCCUCGGAUGGGGAGACCUUGCUGGAUGUCUCACCUCAAGUGGGCACAUAUCAACUUACUGUUUUCCUGUGGCUUGGCUGCUCCUAGCAUGACAGCCAUGUUUUUUCCCCUAAACUGUUUUGUAGCUUAUAUAAAUAAGGAAUGAUGGAUUAAAGAUGUUGUCUUGUCAUGUA